rnacentral:rRNA from 1 species
GGACUACCAGGGUAUCUAAUCCUGUUCGCUCCCCACGCUUUCGUGCCUCAGUGUCAGUUACAGACCAGGAAGUCGCCUUCGCCACUGAUGUUCCUUCCGAUAUCUACGCAUUUCACCGCUACACCGGAAAUUCCACUUCCCUCUUCUGCACUCUAGCUAUCCAGUUUCAUAUGCCAUUCCAAGGUUAAGCCUUGGGAUUUCACAUCUGACUUAAAUAACCACCUACGCACCCUUUACGCCCAGUAAUUCCGGACAACGCUCGCACCCUACGUAUUACCGCGGCUGCUGGCAC